AGCCUUGGCACACCUUCGUGUGCGUA
rnacentral:tRNA from 1 species